UGGGGAAUUUUGGACAAUGGGGGGAACCCUGAUCCAGCCAUGCCGCGUGUAUGAAGAAGGCCUUCGGGUUGUAAAGUACUUUCGGUGGUGAGGAAGUUGUGUGUAUGAAAAGUGCAUAUAAUUGACGUUAGCCACAGAAGAAGCACCGGCUAACUCCGUGCCAGCAGCCGCGGUAAUACGGAGGGUGCGAGCGUUAAUCGGAAUGACUGGGCGUAAAGGGCAUGUAGGCGGAUGAUUAAGUUAGGUGUGAAAGCCCCGGGCUCAACCUGGGAAUAGCAUUUAAAACUGGUCGUCUGGAGUACUGUAGAGGGAGGUAGAAUUCCACGUGUAGCGGUGAAAUGCGUAGAGAUGUGGAGGAAUACCGGUGGCGAAGGCGGCCUUCUGGACAGAUACUGACGCUGAGAUGCGAAAGCGUGGGGAGCAAACAGG
rnacentral:rRNA from 1 species